rfam:Heligmosomoides polygyrus genome assembly, scaffold: HPBE_contig0004422
GCGCCGGUGGUGUAAGGCGAACAUCGCUGCCCGGAAAGCAGAAGAUGCGGGUUUGAGUCCCGCCUGGCGCA